rnacentral:tRNA from 1 species
GAUGAAGUGGCUGAGUGGUUAAGGCAAUGGACUGCUAAGCCAUUGUUCUCUGAAUGCGUGGUUCAAUCCUACCUUUGCCC